rnacentral:rRNA from 1 species
UACGUAGGGACCAAGCGUUGUUCGGAUUUACUGGGCGUAAAGGGCUCGUAGGCGGCCAACUAAGUCGGACGUGAAAUCCCUCGGCUUAACCGGGGAACUGCGUCCGAUACUGGAUGGCUUGAGUUCGGGAGAGGGAUGCGGAAUUCCAGGUGUAGCGGUGAAAUGCGUAGAUAUCUGGAGGAACACCGGUGGCGAAGGCGGCAUCCUGGACCGACACUGACGCUGAGGAGCGAAAGCCAGGGGAGCAAACGGG